GCUGGCGUAGCUCAACUGGUAGAGCAGCUGAUUUGUAAUCAGCAGGUUGCGGGUUCAAGUCCCAUCGCCAGCUCCA
rnacentral:tRNA from 3 species